rnacentral:rRNA from 1 species
GACGUAGGGGCCAAACGUUAUCCGGAGUUACUGGGCGUAAAGGGCGUGUAGGCGGUUUGUUAAGUCUGGCGUGAAAGCUCUCGGCUAAACCGGGAGAGGUCGUUGGAUACUGGCGAGCUAGAGGAUGGUAGAGGCGUGUGGAAUUGCGGGUGGAGUGGUGAAAUGCGUAGAGAUCCGGAGGAACACCAGUGGCGAAGGCGACACGCUGGGCAACACCUGACGCUAAAGCGCGACAGCAUGGGGAGCAAACGGG